rnacentral:lncRNA from 1 species
AGACGCUGCAGUUUACCAGGAGAUGCAGGUUUGGUCGGAGUUUUACCGGAUUUGAAUUGAUGAGAACUGCAUCUGUUUCACUGUCGAGCAAGGAUCGUGAACAUCAUCGUCAAAGGUGAAGGUGGUGUGGGAGAUGGGCUUCAAUCUUUACAUCUACUUGGGCCAAAAUCUGGGCCCGAUAUCUCAUAACCUAAUUAAGCCCAAUAGAAAUGAGAUCUGAUUUCCCUGCAACACGAUUUGGUUCGUUGCAAGAACAGCGUUCGAUUUGGCGGCGAUGAUAGCUGAGAAGCUCGAACCAGUUGAUUGCUGAUGUGUGACCUUGAACAGAAGGACUCGUAGUGAGCUAUCUCCUAGCCCCUAUUCCCUUCUUUUUUUUUUUUAAAGAAAAGAAAAGGCUUGCAGAUUUACUAAAGCUAGCUUUGAUGAGACGGAGGUGUUUGAAGCUGAACGGAGACUGGAGAAGAGAUGAACGCCGAGUUUGCCGGUGGAGAGGAUAUAUAUCUGUAUUUUAAUAUGAGCUGAUCUCAAGGUGUAGUCGUUGAGAUCCCCGUCUUGAUGAGUUGAUGGCAGAGAAUAGUCCCCUAGAUCCCCUUUUUUUUGUAAAUAAAAACAAACUGGCUUGAAGUACCCAUUGUGAUGUUGUCCACAACGAGCUGCUUUUCUUUUAUGUUGAGCUUGAUGUCUUGUUGAGGCGUUGAUGUCUUGUUGAGGCGUUGAUGUCUGAUGAAUUCAAAAUGAGUUCGUGAAAUGCCUUUUGAAGACUUAAAGUCAGGAUCUGAGAAACCGUUCUCCAUAUGGGUUUGAGCUUGUUCUUGAAUAGAAUUUGUUCAUGGGCGAACAAGUUAAACCGUAGGUAGGGUACUUCAUCUUUUUGGUCUCUUAAUCAUCUUAGAGCAUAACAACACUAUCUUUAGGGUGGUCAAGAUUGCUGUGGUGGUGAGGUUAGAGUGGGGGGCUCGCACACAAACUGAAAUAAAGCUGUGGAAGCUCGUUUCGCUGGUCGGCAUCUGGUUCGGUAUGAGAGAGACGAGUAUGUGGUGGAGGUGCCAUUGGGGAGACGUUAAAGACCAAUGAAUUCAAGGCGACUUUGUGAACUGUUCUCGAAGAAUUGCGGAGGUUU